rnacentral:siRNA from 1 species
UAUUCUGGUGUCCUAGGCGU